CACUUUCUUUUUAAGUCACAUGUUUCAAGAGCUAAAAUGAUGGAGAUGACCUUCAUUCAUUACCUGGGAGUUUCCUCUGAGAACUGGCUGCCAGAGUACCAAAGUUGCAGCACCUCCUCUGGUUGGGAGUUGAGCUGACCCAGGACGUUCACCAGCAGGAGACAAUGAGGAAGCUCGUGUUCAGGAGAUAACCCUGCACACAAACAGAACCAGGGACGUUUCAAGAUGGUCCUGCUGGAGGACGACUUCAGCAAAAGGCCUUAAAGGCAACAGCUGGAGCAAGAAGGCAUCCAUAGGAACCAGAGCCGCUGUAUUCAGCUCCCCGGUCAGAGCCGAAGGAAGAGCUGGAGCACACAGGCUGGGAGGGAACUUACUGAAAGACAUCAGACCCUUUACUACCUGUAGUCCAGCGUGUUUGAUCUGUUCAGCGAGCUCUACAGAGGUGUGGAAGGAGGCCAGCAGGUUGUCACAGAGGCUGCUGCUGAUGUCUCCGUGAUGCAGAUGCUCCUCCACCAAUGACUGGUACUUCAGACUCUGUCUAAACAGAUGUGACCAAAGGAACUAUUAAAUGAUUGCCAAUACUUACAACAAAGUGAUUCAUCUCACAGAUAACAUGACAGUGACAUAAGACAUGGGACUGACUUGAUGACAAACUUCCAUGUGUUUGCAUGCAGUGCCAUGUCCAGGUUGGAGAUAAUCGAGCAGAUAUCCAGCAGGUUGUGAAUCACUGAGGAAGAUAAAAAAAUAACUUUUGACAUCAGAAGGGAUGGAAAACACACACACAAACACACCCACACACACACACACACACACACACCUGUCACAAUGUCAGAGACCUCUUCCUCCGAGGCGCUGCUGUCCAGUGCGAUCCGCUCCAGCAGCUCCAGCAGAGCCUUCUGGAGGGAGUAGGCCUCCUUAAAGAGUCCCUGCAGCAGGUCGGCCACCAGGGACAGACGGCCGCAAUACACCACCUCACUCUCCUGAGGACGACAUGCACAGUACGCUCAAAUCGUUUUCAUUUAGACACAUUUUCACACAAAUAAAAGAACAACUCUUUUUUAUUGAUUUUAAUACAACUAGGAACGUAAUGUAUGUUUCCUUUCCAUCCCUGCGACAAACCGAGAUGCUUAUCACAGUAGCUUCCUGUUGUGAGGUUAUCAUUAGCUGUUACACGUCUGGUACUAAAUGAUUGCAUAAGAAGAAAGAGGAAAAGGAAGUACAAAUGAGUCCCUAUAGGAAAGUUUGUGCUACACUUUUGUUCAGUGUCACUUGAAGUGUUUUCUAUUACAGCUUUUACUUGUUUUUUAAACGUCUCAAUAAACCGAAACAAAAAGAUCAAAUCCCAUCUUAUGUUUCCAAUAAAAACUGAAA